GUGCCAGCAGCCGCGGUAAUACGUAGGGUGCAAGCGUUGUCCGGAAUUAUUGGGCGUAAAGAGCUCGUAGGCGGUCUGUCGCGUCGGCUGUGAAAACUCGGGGCUCAACCCCGAGCCUGCAGUCGAUACGGGCAGACUAGAGUGCUGUAGGGGAGACUGGAAUUCCUGGUGUAGCGGUGAAAUGCGCAGAUAUCAGGAGGAACACCGGUGGCGAAGGCGGGUCUCUGGGCAGUAACUGACGCUGAGGAGCGAAAGCGUGGGGAGCGAACAGGAUUAG
rnacentral:rRNA from 1 species